AACGAACGCUGGCGGCAUGCCUAACACAUGCAAGUCGAACGAGACCUUCGGGUCUAGUGGCGCACGGGUGCGUAACGCGUGGGAAUCUGCCCUUGGGUUCGGAAUAACAGUGAGAAAUUACUGCUAAUACCGGAUGAUGUCUUCGGACCAAAGAUUUAUUGCCCAAGGAUGAGCCCGCGUAGGAUUAGCUAGUUGGUGGGGUAAUGGCCUACCAAGGCGACGAUCCUUAGCUGGUCUGAGAGGAUGAUCAGCCACACUGGGACUGAGACACGGCCCAGACUCCUACGGGAGGCUGCAGUGGGGAAUAUUGGACAAUGGGCGAAAGCCUGAUCCAGCAAUGCCGCGUGAGUGAUGAAGGCCUUAGGGUUGUAAAGCUCUUUUACCAGGGAUGAUAAUGACAGUACCUGGAGAAUAAGCUCCGGCUAACUCCGUGCCAGCCGCCGCCGUAAGAC
rnacentral:rRNA from 1 species